rnacentral:rRNA from 1 species
CACUCCUACGGGAGGCAGCAGUGGGGAAUAUUGGACAAUGGGCGCAAGCCUGAUCCAGCCAUGCCGCGUGAGUGAUGAAGGCCCUAGGGUUGUAAAGCUCUUUCACCGGUGAAGAUAAUGACGGUAACCGGAGAAGAAGCCCCGGCUAACUUCGUGCCAGCAGCCGCGGUAAUACGAAGGGGGCUAGCGUUGUUCGGAUUUACUGGGCGUAAAGCGCACGUAGGCGGACUAUUAAGUCAGGGGUGAAAUCCCGGGGCUCAACCCCGGAACUGCCUUUGAUACUGGUAGUCUUGAGUUCGAGAGAGGUGAGUGGAAUUCCGAGUGUAGAGGUGAAAUUCGUAGAUAUUCGGAGGAACACCAGUGGCGAAGGCGGCUCACUGGCUCGAUACUGACGCUGAGGUGCGAAAGCGUGGGGAGCAAACAGGAUUAGAUACCCCAGUAGUCCCAUG